CAGUGCCCCCAGACUGUGGCAUGCCCUCCCACACAGAGCUCACAGCUGCCUGGAGUGCACAGCAUGAUGUCCCCACCUUCCCAGGCAGACCUAAGAGUGCUGGAGUGCUCUGUGAAGUGUUCUGGCGUUGAUUUAAAGGGCCCAGGGCUCUGGCUGCCACAGUAGCAGCUGGGAGCCGUGGGCCCCUUUGAAUCCCCAGGCCCCAGGGCAAUUACUCCCUUUGUGACCCCCGCCUCCUCUGUCAGUGAGCCUGCAGCUCUCCACCCCGUAUCCAUUCAUUUCAUUCAUCCCAUUUGUUCCCAUUCUAAUAUCCAGGAUUUUGCUGACGCUUCUUUAUGCCUGUGUGUCUCUCUCUCUUCAUUAUCGAACAUGCAGGUACCGGUCGUUCCCAGAGGCUGUUCUCCCGCUGCUGCAGGAAGUGGCCUGUGUAAGAGGAGUGCCAAGCAGGAUGAUGGGCUUGUCUCAUCUCCAGGAAUAGCGCAGCAAAGAAUUUCACUGGUUGUAUCUCAGGGCUUCUCUACACUACCCACCCGAUCAAUCUAUCAGGAGUCAAUUUAUCCUGUGUAGUGCAGACAUGAUAAAUCGUCUGCUGAGAGCUUGCCCAUCGACUCCAGUACUCUUCCAGAAUGAGAAGCACAGGCAGAGUCGAUGGAAGAGCAUCAGCUGUCGACUUACUGCAGUGAAGACACUAUGUCGGUUGUGCAGACUGUGUGAUUUAGAAAACAAGAGUCAGCCUUCCCAUACAUUGGAUCCUGCUGUCAUGCACCUCAGUGGCUCAGCUCAUGUGGACUUCUGCAGGACCAGGACCAGUGUCUCACAGAAUGUAUCUACAGUUGUUUCAGGACUCAAGCAUGCAGGGGGUGAAGUGGCAUGGAAGAUCAUGUUGCUUUUUUAAAUACAGAUACCAUCUUUCACUCUCAUGGAGCUCACAGAGAUUUAAAAGCUACGAGCCAGGUUCUGCAAUUGGAUUCAUCUGGGAGGACAUGGUCAGCAGGACAUGGCCUGUGCAGAUGUAAGCACCCCCCCCCCCCCCCCAUGGUUACAGUUGUAGGACCGGAGCCGAUGUAUACGCAGCCAUCUCCAGCACCUACCCAGCAUGCUGCACAGGCUGAGGAACCGGAGACAAAAUGUGGAGCACUAUUUAAUAUUCAGCCUGUGCAGACAGGACCUUGGUUCUUAUGUAGCUGUGAGCUGAGCGGCCCCAGCUGGUGCCCUGCAUAGAGCUCUGUUUGUCUGCUGCAGGAGGACAGCAAGAGGCUGUCCGGAUUCAAACCGGCGCUUAAGUGUCAGAUUCCAGCUUGACGCACUGAAAGUCCAGAUUUAAAUUCUGACAGGAUUGUUAGGUGGCCUGGUGGGUCAGCAUCUUAAGUCCCCACAAAACCCUCUCUAUAGUUUGAGAUUUAGUUAUUUUGCAGGCUCUUUGCGUUACACAAGGCCGUCCCUAGGGGCGUGCAGACCUGGGGCAGCCCUCCCCACACUGCCCCAGGCACGGGACCUAGGGCAAUACCCUUGCUCUGCCUCUGCUUCACCCUGUCCCCUUUCCCUCCCUUUCCCAAGACCUACCCAUGCUCUGGCACCUUGCCCCCUCUGAGCAAAGCAAGCUGGGGAAUUCUGGGGGCCGAGCAUGGGGUGGCAGCAGGAGUCGCCUCCCCAACCCCCACAUUCACCACGGCGGCAGGAUCUGAAGCACCCGGGCAGUCUGCUCCGCUCCACAGCACUGCCCUGUCCCAGCCCACUGUGCCCCACUGCUCCGUGGCAGCAGGAAGCGGAGCUCUCGGGGGCUGGGGCAUGCUACAGUCCCAUGCUGCGGUGAAGCAGAGCACAGCUGGCCAGGAGAGGGCGACAUGGUGGAGCAGAACAGGCUGCCCAGCCACGCUGGGUCCCACUGCUGCAGUGAGUGCGCAUCAGUGAGUGGGUGGGCAAUGCCUACUGCCUCUCUGCACUAGAUUCUCUCUCGUAGGACGGUUGAGGCGGCCGCUUGUGGGGCUCUCCCAAAAUACGGUGCCUGCAUUGGCUGCCCCGAAUCAUCCUGUGGCAUUACAUCAACUGAGUGCACAGUACACUGGGUCAAGCUAGGUCUUGACGUAACUGUUGGUCCUUGGAAUUACAGCAGGACAGAUGACGUCCUUGUAACUUAAGCGGCUCACGAAUAGGCAGCAAAACAACUCUCCUUCCUGGACAGUCCCAGUCACCCGUUGUAAAAAAGUCAAAGGUGCUUGUCUAAAAACAAUAUCUUCAAAAGCUAUGUGCUGAGGGAAAUUCGGGAAGGGAGGGGAGUGACAAACGCAUUCUCUAAAUCUGGGCUUGUUGACCCGAUAAACCCUUUUGUUCAUUGUACCAUCUGGUUUUUGCAUCUUCCAGUGGCUGCAGAGGGGAAUAUUUCAGUUUCCUGUAAGCAAUUAGCCCUGACAGGCCCUUGUCUUUGUCUUUCACAAACCACCUUUCACGCUGACCUUUCUUCCAGUCUACUUGGAGAUGAUUGGCAGCAUCUGUUUUGGCAACAGGCGGGCCAAGGCCAAUUCUCUGUCCUGUGAUUCUGCUGUGCAUGUUUCUUUUUCUGCUUUAUUAGAUUCUGUCUGCUAAUAUUGCCCAUACGAAUGGAAGGGAGCCAGUUUUCCCCUCUCAGCUGACUGGGGCUUGUGUAGCUGUUGUGUGGUUUGUCAGCUAAUGGCAAGAAGGAUUGUUUUUCAUAAGAGGCACCCUGGGUCAGAUGGAAGAAGAAAAUAAUGUCCCUUUCAGAGGCUAAUGCCUAGAAUCCCUGCCUUGUUCUACAAACUGUUGUUUGAAGAUUCAAAGGGUGGUGGUAUUGAAAAACUUACCCCCACUAGUUGUGGAAAGGAGCAGCGCUGAGGAUAAAUCCAGAGCUGAACCAACCGUGCAUCGGUAGAGCCCGGCAAAUCCACUUUACAUCCUUGAGUAUCCACAUGCACGGCUCAUUUUUAUAGAUACAGAUGCAGAUACAAAUUUUGUAUUUAGAGCCCUGCAAAUCUGCCAAAAUCCACUUUAUAUCCACAUCCACGGCUCAUUUUUGCAGAUUUAGAUACCAGAUUUUGUAUCCAAGCAGGGCUCUAUGCAUCUGGACCACGACAGGGGUGGAGAAAAUAAUAAUGAAAUAGCUCCUUGUGUCUACAUUAUAGAAAUCUGAGCUGCUCCUGCUAUUGAAGCUCAGGGCACCAAGCCAGUCAAGCCUCAAGAACUGACCAAGCUCAAAUGCCAGAAGAUCCAGCUGCACGGCCUUCCUGGAGAAAAAGCUGGGCUCCAAACCUGGUCUUCUGCACAGGUCUAAAGAUCAAAAUUCUGAGCCAGACGACUGACUUUAAGUGUUCCAGUUCUUUAAGAAAAUAUCAGAAUGUGCUGCAAAAAACCCCAAUCCAAACAAAACCCAAAAUGUGGUUUUUAAAAUCAGUGUUUCUCCACCUUUUUGAUACCAGGGACUGGCUUGCUGCCUUCCUAAACUGUCAGGGAGAUCUGAAACUGACACUAGUCCACAGAGCAGUUGCUGAGAAACACUGCUUUAAAUCAUCGGUUCAGUCUGCAUGUUAUGCACCUUCAGUUAGUUUUAUUUUCUUUCAUAAUUUAUAAGUAUGAGCCCAUCACACAACCUCUGGGAAUAGUUACAUAGUGGGGAAAAAAGCAUACAUCAAAACAAUCUCUGCUCUACUGCAGGCAGUGCUGCUAAACAGAUUCCGUAUUCUUCCCCACUCCACUGGGACUUUAAAAAAGAAAGUCUUCGACCAAACCAAACUCACUUUCAGGCAUAUACAGGAGCGAACAAAUGAGCCUUGUACCCAAAUUCCAAAAGUCAAUAGUGGAUUGAUAGGUGCUUCUCUAUCCUCUUGCAAAAUAUUAUUGGUUUAAUGUUCUAGGUACAAAGCACUGUGUAUUUAAAAUAAAAGCAGACUGUAAACAUCUCCAUGUGACUGAAAAUUAAUCACUUGUCAGUUUCAGAUCUAUGUGAUCAUUUAGCAACAGUCUCAGGGAAUCAUCUAAUCUGGCUGCCAGUUUAAUGAAAAUGAUACGCUGAAUUUCUAGAGAAUCUUUCACCCUGGAAUCUUAAAUGUGCUUUGCAAGCAUUAGUUAAUGAACUCUCACAACAACCCUGUGGAAUAGGCAAGUAGAAUUGUAUGGAGAGGAUAAGUGAGGCACAGAGUGAUGAAGUGACUUGCCCGAGGUUAGAGCGUGAAUCAGUGGAAGUGCCAGGAAUAGAACAUAGGAGCCAUGAUUCCCAGGCCCAUGAUCUAACCACUAGAUAACACUACUUUUCCUUUAUGUAGUCAUAGGCGGUGAGCUCUGCAGGAGAGAAAUUAUGGAAUUCUAAUCCCUGUUUGGGAUUUCUUGGCAUCACUAUGAUAGAUAAUAAAAGUGCAGUGUCUCUUCUGUCCCUUUAAAAGAGCUAGCGAUGGUUUGUUAAAUACAGUGAUUCAAAAUAAAAAAUAUUCCAGAUGGUGUUUUCUAGAAGCAAGCUCUUUCUUCACAUAGAUAGUUACCCACUUGGUUUUCAUUUCACUGCUUCCCAAGCGAGUACAAGGGGACUGCAGUGCAAUCAGCAAAACAAAAAGUCUCCAGUAAAGGAUUGGAAAGCAGGGGCGGACUGGCUCGGCGGGAUACCAGGAAUUUCCUGGUGGGCCGUCGUGUCCGCAUGCCGUUGCCCCUCACUGCGAGCGGCUCCGCGUCCACGCUGUAUGCGGCACGCAGAGUCCGACCUGCCACCUGUGCCGCGUGCCAGACAUGACGCAGGGGGCAGGGCUUGAGGGGCACGCAGGGGUGACGCCAUGGGGAGGGCCGUUCUCAACCCAUUUCCUGGGCCUAUUUUGAUGGCCAGCAUGCUCCUGUUGGAAAGGGACCUGGUUAAAGGCUGUCUGCCAGUGUAAACAAUCCUCCUGUCUUUUUAGGGGCAUAAUCUGUGCCACACCCUGUCACAUGCUGAAAUCAUGGCGAGCUGAGGGUGACCUGCACCUUGCAGGACUGAGCUGCUACUUUCACUACUCACAAGCAUCACAGAGGGGCUUAGAGGCUGUCUGGCUGGCUUUCCUUUUUUGUUUGUUAGUUUAUUAAUAAUCUUGGGGUUUAGUGGGAGUUUUUGCUUGAACGCAGGCUAACGGUAGGGCAGAGAAGACGCCGCUAGGGAUUUCCCUCAUUUUUAACCAAGGCAAAGGGCAGGAGAUGCACAGCAGUAGGGGGAGGGGCAGCUGAAGUGCUGGCACUUGGUAGCCUCUUGGCCAAACCAGUCAGGAUCACCUGUCAGAGGCUCCAAUAUCUACAAGUAGAUCCUGAUCUACUGGUUGGUGACCACUGCUGUACAAUGUGAGAGUCCCUAAAGGUUCUUAUACCACCCUUCCCACGAUAGCAUCCAAGCCCCUUCCAGCAAUGCAGGAUGUGCCAGACUCAUGGAACGUACUUGUGUUGCACAAAGCGAAAAAGAGAGCCAGGGUGUGUCUGCAGUGUCAUUUGCCUUGUUAAAGCUUUUGUUGCUCAAGGGUGUGAACAGACACUCCCCUGAACAACAGAAGUUUUAAUGAUGAAAAGUGCAGCUGUGAACAGUGCUUCAUGGUGGGCCACAAAGCUACUGCCCCUUGUUGGAGGUGGGUUUAUUUUGUUGCUGGGAAAGCUCUCAUCCAGCACCAAAAGCACCUGCACUAUGCACCUUAAAGGGGUACGUCUGCAGUGGCACAUCUGUGCUGUUGGAAGGAGUGUAGUGCAAACGUUGCCUGAGAGGGCUGGCAGGAAGACUUCUGCACUUGGUGAGCUCUCAGGCCUGGGAACUGAAUUACUGCAGAGCUAGUCAUCAAUGUCUCUAGUUAAAAUACUGACACGCACCUGUUCAUUUUGGGUUAAUCUACAUUGGCAUAAUCCAGUGGUUCCCAAUUUGUGGUCUGUGGACUCCUGGGAGUCUGCAAGGGGGCAGCAGAAAAUUUUUAAAAGUAAGGAUUGGGCCCACCACGAUGGGCCCGGUUUCAAGGCUUGUUUUUGACCCUGUUCUCUGGAAGCUAAGGGAGCAUGGGGAAGGUGCUUGCAUGCUGUGCAUGCCUCUCACGCCUGGCUGGUAUGUGAGAGGCUUGCACAGGAUGUAACCACUUUCCCCUCACUCCCUAGGGGCUACGUCUAC